rnacentral:rRNA from 1 species
GACGUAGGAGGCGAGCGUUGUCCGGAUUCAUUGGGCGUAAAGAGCGCGCAGGCGGCUUGGUAAGUCGGAUGUGAAAUCCCGAGGCUCAACCUCGGGUCUGCAUCCGAUACUGCCCGGCUAGAGGUAGGUAGGGGAGAUCGGAAUUCCUGGUGUAGCGGUGAAAUGCGCAGAUAUCUGGAGGAACACCGGUGGCGAAGGCGGCAUCCUGGACCAAUUCUGACGCUGAGGAGCGAAAGCCAGGGGAGCAAACGGG